UUGGUGGUCUCUCAGAUGUGAAAACUCGGGUACAACAAAGAUGGCUACUGGAUUCCUUCCUCUCAUGAGAAUUCUGAGUUUAUUUUGUGAUGUGCUAACAUCAAACUAUUUGAAGUUACUCAUGAUGGUGACAGCAUAAUAAGUCCAGUUGAUGAUGCAGAACAGCAGCUCUGCCUCAGCACAGCAGAGGACAAUGGGCCAUAGGAAAUGAGACACACUGAAGAAUGAAGUAUGUCUUCCUAAAUGCUGAGUGAGCACCGUCCCAUAGAUCCCACACUGUGUAGGCCUAUGUCUGCCUUUCAAAGGCCAUGAAAACCAAGUGAUAAUCACCAUAGUUAAUUUCACAUAUUAAGUGUAAAUUUGAUGACAGAAUGGCUUGGCCUUGCAGGUAGUACUUGUAAAGACAAUCUCGUAUCACUGCACGGCAUUGUUGAAUUUCUAUUACUGUCAAGAUCUAAACCCACAUACAUUUCACUCAACAGUGUGGGGAUGUAUAGUCAGCAGUCUCAGUGCAGUUUUCAUCUGCUGUGCAGAGAGAAGGAUUUGAAACGGCAGGAGCAUGUCAUCUGUGGGCACUGAGGAAUGAAAGCAACAGAGAGCGUGUGCGUGCACAUAUGUAUAUCAAGGGCAGGGGCACUAGAUGGGGGAGUAUGGUAAUCUACUUGACUUCUUAAUCAUUUUCAGUCAGAAAAGCAUACGUGACAGUUGAUUUGACUGUCUGUGUAGAGAGUUUAUAUUUCCAGAUUCUUAAAUUCCUUCAACUUCUAAAAAUACCACUGUUAUAUUAUAGCUUUAUUAAAAGACUGCA